rnacentral:rRNA from 1 species
UGGCGGCGUGCCUAAUACAUGCAAGUCGAACGCACUGACGUCGACAGAAGGUGCUUGCACUGGAAGUUGAUUGACGUGAGUGGCGGACGGGUGAGUAACACGUGGGUAACCUGCCCUUAAGCGGGGGAUAACAUUUGGAAACAGAUGCUAAUACCGCAUAAAAGUUGAGAUCACAUGGUCUUAAUUUGAAAGACGGCCUUUGGCUGUCACUUAAGGAUGGACCCGCGGCGUAUUAGCUAGUUGGUGAGAUAAUAGCCCACCAAGGCGAUGAUACGUAGCCGACCUGAGAGGGUAAUCGGCCACAUUGGGACUGAGACACGGCCCAAACUCCUACGGGAGGCAGCAGUAGGGAAUCUUCCACAAUGGACGAAAGUCUGAUGGAGCAACGCCGCGUGAGUGAAGAAGGUUUUCGGAUCGUAAAACUCUGUUGUUGGAGAAGAACAGGGACUAGAGUAACUGUUAGUCCUUUGACGGUAUCCAACCAGAAAGCCACGGCUAACUACGUGCCAGCAGCCGCGGUAAUACGUAGGUGGCAAGCGUUGUCCGGAUUUAUUGGGCGUAAAGCGAGCGCAGGCGGUUUCUUAAGUCUGAUGUGAAAGCCUUCGGCUUAACCGAAGAAGUGCAUCAGAUACUGGGAAACUUGAGUGCAGAAGAGGAAAGUGGAACUCCAUGUGUAGCGGUGAAAUGCGUAGAUAUAUGGAAGAACACCAGUGGCGAAGGCGGCUUUCUGGUCUGUAACUGACGCUGAGGCUCGAAAGUAUGGGGAGCGAACAGGAUUAGAUACCCUGGUAGUCCAUACCGUAAACGAUGAAUGCUAAGUGUUGGAGGGUUUCCGCCCUUCAGUGCUGCAGCUAACGCAUUAAGCAUUCCGCCUGGGGAGUACGACCGCAAGGUUGAAACUCAAAGGAAUUGACGGGGGCCCGCACAAGCGGUGGAGCAUGUGGUUUAAUUCGAAGCUACGCGAAGAACCUUACCAGGUCUUGACAUCUAGCGCCAAUCCUAGAGAUAGGACGUUCCCUUCGGGGACGCUAAGACAGGUGGUGCAUGGUUGUCGUCAGCUCGUGUCGUGAGAUGUUGGGUUAAGUCCCGCAACGAGCGCAACCCUUAUGAUUAGUUGCCAGCAUUUAGUUGGGCACUCUAAUCAGACUGCCGGUGACAAACCGGAGGAAGGU